rnacentral:tRNA from 1 species
GGCGCGAUGGCAGAGUGGUUAUGCAGAGGACUGCAAAUCCUCGUACCUCGGUUCGAUUCCGGGUCGCGCCUCCA